GUGAAUCAUCGAAUCUUUGAACGCAAAUUGCACUCCCCGGUUUUCCGGGAGAGUAUGCCUGUUUGAGGGUCAGCCUAAAAAAAAUCGACAUUGUUGCUGUUAUUUAAUGGUGACUUUCGUCGGAGAUUGGGUUAUCUUAAACCUUUUUUUUUUUUUGGUUUAAGGGCUUAAAAAUUUUUUUUCACGUUCCAUUGACGUUUUUUAAGUUUUUUUUUUUUCUACCUUUUAAGUUUUUUGGUUUUUUUUUUAACGGUAAC
rnacentral:misc_RNA from 1 species